rnacentral:pre_miRNA from 1 species
AAAAGAAUUGCUGGAUCUAUCAUGGUAAGUCUGUUUAAGUUUUUGAAAAACAACAAUGCUAUUUUCCACAAUAGUUACAUCAUUUUAUACUCCCACCAGCAAU